rfam:Prunus persica cultivar Lovell chromosome G3, whole genome shotgun sequence.
CGUAGGGGCUUCUGUCGUAGGAGAGAUGGCGCCAAAUGCAAUCAUAUUGGUUUGGUACUAAUUAUGGUAGAAUUAAAGCUAAGCCAAUUUGGGCACCGGGUUUCAUCUCUCCUCGACUGAAGCCCCUCACUUU